rnacentral:rRNA from 1 species
AUUGAACGCUGGCGGCAGGCCUAACACAUGCAAGUCGAACGAGUGGCGGACGGGUGAGUAAUGUCUGGGAAACUGCCUGAUGGAGGGGGAUAACUACUGGAAACGGUGGCUAAUACCGCAUACUAUCGGAUGUGCCCAUAUGGGAUUAGCUAGUAGGGGGGGUAAAGGCUCACCUAGGCGACGAUCUCUAGCUGGUCUGAGAGGAUGACCAGCAACACUGGGACUGAGACACGGCCCAGACUCCUACGGGAGGCAGCAGUGGGGAAUAUUGCACAAUGGGCGCAAGCCUGAUGCAGCCAGGCCGCGUGUAUGAAGAAGGCCUUAGGGUUGUAAAGUACUUUCAGCGGGGAGGCGUUACCCGCAGAAGAAGCACCGGCUAACUCCGUGCCAGCAGCCGCGGUAAUAC